AGUCAUUCGAUUAACGCUUAGUCCCUGACUAAGCCAACUGGAAG
rnacentral:ncRNA from 1 species